rnacentral:rRNA from 1 species
GUUGUAUGGUUAAGUGACUAAGCGUACACGGUGGAUGCCUUGGCAGUCAGAGGCGAUGAAAGACGUAGUAACUUGCGAUAAGCCCAGAUUAGGUAGUAACAACCAUUUGAGUCUGGGAUUUCUGAAUGGGGAAACCCACUUACAUAAGUAAGUAUCGUUAUGUGAAUACAUAGCAUAACGAGGCGAACCGGGGGAACUGAAACAUCUAAGUACCCCGAGGAAAAGAAAUCAACCGAGAUUCCGAAAGUAGCGGCGAGCGAAAUUGGACUAGCCCUUAAGCUUUACACGCGUUAGACGAACGGUCUGGAAAGUCCGACGAUACAGGGUGAUAGUCCCGUAGUUGACGACGUGUGUUCAGUGAAAUCGAGUAGGGCGGGACACGUGAUAUCCUGUCUGAAUAUGGGGGGACCAUCCUCCAAGGCUAAAUACUACUGACUGACCGAUAGUGAACCAGUACCGUGAGGGAAAGGCGAAAAGAACCCCUGUGAGGGGAGUGAAAUAGAACCUGAAACCGUGUACGUACAAGCAGUAGGAGCAGGCUUGUCCUGUGACUGCGUACCUUUUGUAUAAUGGGUCAGCGACUUAUAUUCAGUGGCAAGGUUAACCAUCUAGGGGAGCCGUAGGGAAACCGAGUCUUAACUGGGCGUUCAGUCUCUGGAUAUAGACCCGAAACCAGGUGAUCUAGCCAUGGGCAGGUUGAAGGUUGAGUAACAUCAACUGGAGGACCGAACCGACUAAUGUUGAAAAAUUAGCGGAUGACUUGUGGCUAGGGGUGAAAGGCCAAUCAAACCUGGAGAUAGCUGGUUCUCCCCGAAAGCUAUUUAGGUAGCGCCUCGGACGAAUACUACUGGGGGUAGAGCACUGUUAAGGCUAGGGGGUCAUCCCGACUUACCAACCCUUUGCAAACUCCGAAUACCAGUAAGUACUAUCCGGGAGACACACGGCGGGUGCUAACGUCCGUCGUGGAGAGGGAAACAACCCAGACCGCCAGCUAAGGUCCCAAAUUACUACUAAGUGGGAAACGAUGUGGGAAGGCUCAGACAGCCAGGAUGUUGGCUUAGAAGCAGCCAUCAUUUAAAGAAAGCGUAAUAGCUCACUGGUCGAGUCGGCCUGCGCGGAAGAUGUAACGGGGCUAAGUAGUAAACCGAAGCUGCGGCAAUAUACUUUUGUAUAUUGGGUAGGGGAGCGUUCUGUAAGCGGUUGAAGGUGUGUGGUAACGCAUGCUGGACGUAUCAGAAGUGCGAAUGCUGACAUGAGUAACGAUAAAGGGGGUGAAAAACCUCCUCGCCGGAAGACCAAGGGUUCCUGUCCAACGUUAAUCGGGGCAGGGUAAGUCGACCCCUAAGGCGAGGCCGAAAGGCGUAGUCGAUGGGAAACGGGUUAAUAUUCCCGUACUUCUUACAAUUGCGAUGGGGGGACGGAGAAGGCUAGGUGGGCCUGGCGACGGUUGUCCAGGUUCAAGUGCGUAGGCUUGAGAGUUAGGUAAAUCCGGCUCUCUUUAAGGCUGAGACACGACGUCGAGCA